UCCCACAAUCCUAUCGUCUUUCACCUGUCACAUUUCCACCACAAGCAGCCAUACUGUUAGUAUGCACGCAUCCAUCAACAUCCAUCCUAACAAAUCCUCUAUCUAGAAGCUGCCGUUUUUCAAUCGAUUUGUAGGGUUUUUUAUGCAUGUCAAUUUUCCUAAUCCAAUUAAGAUCAGUUUGAACUUUCAUGAAGCAUUUUCUCAUAUCCACCUUCGGUCUCGGUUCCUCUUCUCCAAAUAAGUUUGUACAUCUAUUUGCCGCCGUUGAGCUCAGAUGCCUCACCCCUCGUCAUGGUCUCUGUAACUCGAGCUUCUUGCCCUCUUCCUUCAUUUUGUUUCCUUGCUGGGUUUUCUCAUCGAAUCGAUGAAGCUCGGCCACCACCUUGCUUAUGCAAGCUCAAGUUUUCCUCUGCUUCAUCGCUUCUGUUUGGAUCUUGAGCUCAGUCUCCUCUCCUCUCAACGCCAGAUCGUGAGCGCCGUCGCCUCUAAUCUGCAUCUUUCCUCUAACCUUUUACAAAGCCGCUUCAUUUAUGUCCUCUCAAUGCCUCUCCUCUUCUUCAUUUCCUUUCAUUGCUACUCACUUGGCCGUAAAUAGCUUGGAUUAAUGAAAAGCAGCAGCUGAAACAUCAAAAGCUUAUAAAAGAGACUGGGGUAUCAUGUAAGCAGAAUCCAGGUGCUACAGAAGCAAUUAAUGUGCUCAUGAAGAAGAAAAGCCUUAUGGGAAUAGGGAUUAUGGUAUGCCCUGCAUUGAAUACACUGAAUUUGACAAGUUUAGAAUUGCUAAGUUGAAGAUGAUAUCACUUUUAAUUGUUGAUUUGUUUAAAUGGCAAAGUAUAUCAAAUCUAUUUUCUUCUUCGGGUCCACGCUUGCAGAAGGUCUUGGCAUGCCUGGGAUUGUAUCAAUAUUGUUCAUGGGAAUACUCAUGAAGCACUACACAUAUUCAAAUUUGCCCAGAGAUUCUUAAAGAUAUGUCUCUUCAUUUUUGGAUUUAAUAUCAACUUUGGCAAGGACAUUUGUCUAAGGAAGAUUCUAUCUGCUACAUUUUAUUCAAGCAGUUAAAUUCUUUUGUCUAAAGGAUGCAUUUAUGCGUUUAUGCAUUUACACCCAGGCAUCAGUGCCAGCCCAUUUCACUGGAAUAACAAAAUCAUAAGCUGCUAUAAAGCAGGUAAGGCCUACAGGAAUUCAAGAUUUACCCUGAAUCAUGAGCCCACAACCUAACCAAAUUAAGGCUAUCAUUGAAGAAUCUAACAAGGAACACUACCCUUGAGAAGCCAAGUAUUUUUCCGUUUUUUCAUUUGUCCCCUUACACUUCAUAUGUUUUCUUUUAACUCCUGGGAGAAAUGCCACUUCAUCAUAUAUGCAAACAAUACCAUUAUGUUUGUCUGAAAAUGUACUAGUAUCUGUUGCAUUCUUAGUUGUCAAUAUAGCUAUAUCAGACUGCAAGUUUUCCAGGACAUCUUUAUCCUCAACAUUUGUUUGCAUAUAGUAUAUAAAGCGAUAUCUCUUAACCUCACCAUGGGUUAGGAUUAUGAAAAGAACAGUUUUAAUGUUUGCUUAUGAUAAGGCAAUAUUACAUAAUACAUAUAAGAAUUAUUGUGGGGGUUAUUUUGGUAAAUUCGGAUUUCUUUGUUAUUAAGGAAAGGGAGUUUUAGUUACUUUUAAUUAAGAUGAAAAGGGAAGACAAUAAAAAUGGGCCACAAAGAAGAAAGAGGUUGUUACGGUAGUCAUUAGGAAACAUGCACACAUAAAUAGUAGAUGGAGAAAGAAACAAACUGUUGCUUUGUUCUGUGUUAUGAUCUUCCUCUUCUUUAGAUGGCAUGCGUUAAAGUCAGUUUAGAAGCGGUGUUUUUAUUUUCUAAUGAUUGCAAAAGUGAUAUACAUUUUAAUUGCAUACUUUUGGAGUUGGGAUAGAAUUUUUCUGAGCUUGUAUUUAACAUAUUGUGAAAUAAAUAAGUGUGAACUGGUUAGACACAUACACACAUAUAGAUGGGUCCUUUGUGAAAUCAGAUGCAGAAAGGCAAAGAGUUAUGUAGUAUCCUGAAACUGCAAUUGAGAAAUGAUUAUCUAAGAUCAACGACAUAUCACAUAUAUUAUUGCAUUUCAGAAGUGAUUGCCUGCUUUAGUGGAAAGAAGAGGCUUAGUUAUUUAAAAACUCAUGGGCUCCAUUGUUUUUAUGGAGGUAGAAGGCCUUGGGUGUGAUAAUUCUCUUGUGAUCAUACUUUUCAAUAAAAACAUAACAUCUGGACUAAAAUUGAAAAAUGCAUUUUUGAUUCCUUAAAAAAAAAAAAGUGCUGGGCAUCACGUAAUUCUGUUGCAAAAACCUAGUAUAUUGUAAGUGAGUUCAGUUUUGUCCUCUCUUAUUUCUCUAUUUGAUUAUGUUCUAUAAUUGUCACCUGUUUGUCCUUUGUUUGAUUCUAUUGUAUUCACAAACAUUGUAAAAAUUUUAAUCAGUUUUUCUAUGAACUGCGGCAGCAAAGUAUAGGAUAUAAAUUAAUAACUGAAUUACGGAGCAAAAACUCUUUGAAGGUCAUUUUCUCCAUACUCUUGCACACAAAUAUUAGCGCUGAAAGUAAUAAAUUAUGGUAUACUUUGACAGAGUGCACUGUUUUGUUUUUGCCCCAUCCAUUAAAGAACAAUGACUUUUGGCCAAGCAAAAAAAUUAAAGAACAAUAACUUGGAGCAAUAAAUUAAAUGAAAUGAAAAUAUGCAGAUGUAGCUAAAAAUUAAAGGUUAUAUUUUGUUCAAAUAUGGACCUUGGUAAUUUAUCCUGUUGCAGCAUGUUCCCUCUUUAAAAUAAAAAAUCUCUACAUUUCCCCUAUGGAAUUGCUUCUAUGUGAAUUUUUUAAAUACCCUCUUUUCAGAAAUAGACUAAUGAAAUAUCAUGUUAAUAUUGCUUUCCUAUGAGGAUUUAGUUAAUGGUCUUCCCGUAGUGCAUGUUCUCCACGUUCAAUGAUUCUUCUAGAAAGGAAGCAUGUCUCCCUUACAAGGCUAGACAAACAUGCACUUACCUUGGAUCAUUUAUUUUUGACUUCCACUUGUAUCUUACAUGUUUAGUUUGGUAUCAUUUAUUGUAUAAAAAUUUUUUAUUUAAAGCUUCCUUGUUCACUCUAGCACAAUUCCUCCUACUGUAUGAGAAAAAUCAAAUCCCAGUAGAGGCGUCUAAGAAUUUGAGAGCAACAAUUAAAUUCUGAAAGUCAUUUGAGGGGUUGAUGACCUCCUCCAACAAUGUCAACUUGUAUAAACUAUAUAAAUGAUGAUUAAUGGCUAUCUAU